AGGCAGGUAUGCACCGCUACCUGCAAUGUGAUUGCUCUUGUCUUUAUAAACUCUGUGGCUGGGAUCCCUACACAGGACAAACACUUCCAAAAGGAAAAAAGAAGCUUUAUUUUUACUUGGCACAAGUACAUGUGAUCAUUUCAUAAAGGAUUACGGUGACACAGUCAAAUAAAUAAAUAAAACCAAAUCAUGUGACGAAACAUACAAGCACUCA